UAGGGAAUCUUCCGCAAUGGACGCAAGUCUGACGGAGCAACGCCGCGUGAGUGAAGAAGGAUUUCGGUUCGUAAAACUCUGUUGUUAGAGAAGAACAGCGCAUAGAGUAACUGUUAUGCGUGUGACGGUAUCUAACCAGAAAGCCACGGCUAACUACGUGCCAGCAGCCGCGGUAAUAUGUAGGUGGCAAGCGUUGUCCGGAUUUAUUGGGCGUAAAGCGAGCGCAGGCGGUCAAUUAAGUCUGAAGUUAAAGGCAGUGGCUCAACCAUUGUAGGCUUUGGAAACUGUUUAACUUGAGUGCAGAAGGGGAGAGUGGAAUUCCAUGUGUAGCGGUGAAAUGCGUAGAUAUAUGGAGGAACACCGGUGGCGAAAGCGGCUCUCUGGUCUGUAACUGACGCUGAGGCUCGAAAGCGUGGGGAGCGAACAGG
rnacentral:rRNA from 1 species